rnacentral:lncRNA from 1 species
ACACCCACACACCGAGGUACCAGAGCCACCCCGACGACGGCGCAGCAGCACCACCACACGCAUAGAGACUCUCAAAAGUCUCAUCUCUCUCCGUCCUUUCUCUCUGCAGUCUGCACCGAGAGUCCGAGAGUCCGAGAUUCACACAUGCUUCAGGAAUACACCCACCUCGGCUUUCUCCCUCUCCUUCUCGUCUCUGCAACUCGGUGAAUGCAGGAACCCUCCGACGAGUUUCUUGAAUUUCUCCGGUUAGGUAAGCUUCGGGUUUACCUCUUUCUGUUGAAUCUGUUAUAGAUUGAAGCUUAGAUGUGAAAUUGAAGUUCUAUCUCGUGUUUUUGCAAGGUUUUUGGGAUGAAAUCGGCUCAGGAAUAGGCACACCCAUCUCCGGCCUUCUUCUCCGAUGUGCACAGAUCCGAAAUUUUACGAAAAUAUCGAUAAUAUCGAUAAUAUCGCGAUAUUUUCGAUAAUAUCGCGAUAUUAUCACGAAAACCAUUUGGAUAGUGAUAAAAAUAUCGGUCUCCUUAAAAACCGAUAAUAUCGGCGAAAUAUCGCCGAUAUUAUCGAUUUUUUCUUCCAUGGGUAGCAGUGAAGGGAUGUGACAAGGCUACAAAGUGAGCAUACUUAAUGAACAUGUCCACUACUACAAAUAUCACAGACUUUCCCUUGCAUAAUGGUAACCCAACAAUAAAAUCCAUGUUUAUGUCAUUCUAAAUUUGUUGGGGAAUGGGCAAGGGUUGAAGCAGUCCAAGUGGUGAUAUUGUCUCGUACUUGUUCUGUUGACAGAUUUGGCAUUCUGCCACAAAAGCUUUAAUAUCCUUCUUGAGACCUUGCCAAUAGAAACCCUUUUUGAUUAUCUGAUAUGUCUUCAGUACCCCAUUGUGUCCUGCAGCAAGAUUAGUAUGAAGUUCAUUCAUAAUUUUUGCUUUCCAUGGUGAUCGAGGGCUAAGCACCAUUCUUGACUUGUACUUAAGAAGGCCAUUAUCAACCUUGUAUUUGUGGUUACUGUCAUUAGUAGUAGGACAAGAAGAAUUUGCCUUGAGGGACUGUAUUUUAGACUGAAUCCAAUCAUCUUUCUCAUUACUCAUUGUCAAAUCAUCUAACACCCAAAGUAGGGUAAGAAAUAGCUAGGCAGUUCAUAUUUGUACUUGGUUCUACUUCUACUCUAUCAUUUUGAUCAGGUGGGUCUUGGAGCCUAGAAAGGGCAUCAGUUACCAAAUUCUCAAAACCCUUUCUAUAAUGGAUCUCAUAAUCAGACCCAAGCAACUUUAAAACCCAUUUUUGUU